rnacentral:lncRNA from 1 species
GUCUCCAGAUGCGUGUCUACUGCUGAGUUGCAGGGGAAACCAGCAAGCAUGGUGAUCCGUGCCCCUGCUCACCUCUCCUCUAAGACCUGGCACUGCCCAUCCACCUGGACGACUUCCUGCUUUUCAGAUAUCAGAAUGCAGGUGUGCCUGUGGAGUGGUACAACUGCAUCCUUUUCUCUCAGCGCAACCCGAGUGGACAUCGACACGUUCAGAUUUAGCAGAGAUUCUUUUUUUCGCCAGUUCUUUCUACCCAUUAAAUGUGUUGCAGUAUCGGGAUUUGCCUGUGUGAGUGGCUUUAAAAGGAGGAAACCAGAGGACAAGAGCAGUUGCAUAUUGACGGUGUCAUGGAUGCCCUCUAACUUUAUCCAGUAGAGCUGUGGCAAGGAUGAAGAGAGUGAGCAUGUGUAAAGGGCUGCUGGUUGUGCACUCCGUGAACCUCUGCGCUUAUGGAAAGAAGAGACAUUUUGCUGGAAGGUUUGGGCUUCCAACUUUCCUGCUGACCGAGCUUGAACUGCUAGAAGGGGAAAAACAAACAGAGAUUCCACCUGCACCACGAGCCGGCCCCAGAGUAAACAUUCCACACACAUCGGCUGGGUUAUCUCCAGAAUGAUCCUGCAUGGCUGGUGCUGUUAUUAUCUCCAUGUUACAGGACUCAAAGAACUGGUCAGGGCUUAGCAGCCCCGGGACAACCUUGCCUGGAUGGAAGAUUUCACCUUUGGCGGAAAGGAGGCAAACUCAGCCAUGCUCUCAAGCAAAUUCCAACUGGGAUGCAGGUUUUCUUUCUCUUUUCCUGUUCCCCCUCUAGUUUAGAAGAGCUACUGCAUUGGCUGAUUCCCCAGGUUAGGAUUCCAAGGAAGCAAAAGUAAGAGUUAUUUCUUCAUUGAGCCUCAAGAGCCCUUUCAAUCCACUUGUUGUUGGCCCCAAGCCAAAGCCAGUUACCUUCUGAUGGAAAGAAAUGAUUUCCGUGUUAAUAUGAUUUGUAUCUGGCAAAUCCAUGCAGCCUGCUGAUUAUCAUCAUAUUCCUGGCCUUCCGUUCUUUUCAAAAUGACAGGCUAUUGAUCCAGCCUUCUCCCAGUUUUGAAGUUUAUGGAAAAGGACGUCUCCACGGUACAGUUCAUUCCCACUGGUCCUCGAGCUGCAGGGGAGACAUGUUGACUUUUGAAUUUCAGGUACUUUCCCUGCCCCUUUCAAUGAGGACCAAGCACUAAGAAUCUUCUGAUGCCUACCAGGCACAAUGCUGAGCCCAGAGUCGGCCCUCAGAGCUCGCUGAGCAGAACGGAGCUGGGGGUACCUGUCUCUCCCACCCUCCUCUGAGACUUUGCCCUUUAAAUUCAUCAGUGGCAGCACCGUGGGUUCUCUCCGCAGAGGCAGCGGCAUAGCCGGGCAUCUUCUCUUACCGACACUUUCUCUGUUUGGUGUGCGCUUAACAACCACCUUGAGGCUGGGUGAGAACCAGACUUGUUUUGAGGGACUCUGGGAAGGCAGAGCUGGGCUGUGGCCCUGGGUAUCCUGGCUCCAGGCCCAGUGCUCUUUCCCCUCAUCUUAUCCUCACAUCCCUCUCAGGCACCCUUCCAAGGCAGGCAGCGUAGCCCCACCAGCACUUAGACGGCAUCUUGGCCCUGCCGUUCAGGAGCUGCGGGAUCUUGAGCAGAUGUUAUCUUUCUAAGCCUCAGUUUCUCCAUCUGUUAACUGGAGCUAAGAAUGCCCCGGUCAGCAAUCCUCAGGGCCAUUGCACAAGUUAAAUGAGAUGAUGCCAGUGAAGCUUCUCACACAGAGGUUAUCUCUGAGUUAGGGCCCAAUAGCUGUUUACUGGUGUGACUGGUGAUACUAUUGUUCUUUGGGGGAAACUGUUCUCUCUCUGAGCCAAGACCAAUGGCUCGAUCCGUAGGUCUUUCCUCAGCCUUGGUCUGGAUGUGGUCAUCAUUCCUCCAUCCACCUCCCUUUCUUAUUCUCUAAAUGAAAGAACCUGUCCUUUCAGCCAAAAGAAUUUGUCAGUGUUACCUGAGUUUCUAAGAUAUUUAGAAAGCCUCUUUCAAGGAGAAUCCUUAGAGACAGCAUGAAAAGAGAGUCAGGCCAGACAUCUGCCCCAUGAGGAGGAAGCCCGGAUUCUGGCCAACCACCUCUUCCCUCAUCUUCCUUUGUGGAGCAGAAACUUCACUAGAGACUGGAUUGAGCUGGCCCCCUGGUCUGGAUGUGGCCCUGAAACAGCACUGCUCAGCUGCCUCCAUCCCCUCCCCACCCAUCUGGGUACCAUGUCCUGCUGACUCUGUCUCCAUGACUCAUCUGAGUUUCCCUGUCAAACCCAGUGCCACCACCCCAGGCCAUGCUCCUCAUGCAUGGACAAUUAACUAGCCACUACCUAACGAGUCUUCUCGCCUUCAGGUUCUUAAGGAAUCCAGAACUCUGGACCAGACUGGGCUUCCUGGAGCCUGGCGCUGUUGGUGUGCCUUCUCAGCAGACUCCCACUUUAUAAAGCAAGCUUCUAAGCCUAGGCCAGGCAGAAUGUGGCCAACCCUGUCCCCCUGUCUCAUGUCACUGUCCUCCAUUAGGGCUGCACACCAUGUCCCGCACUCACGUUUCCCAAACACCCAUCCAAGGUGCUUUGAAAAAAUGAGUGUUCCGAGGCAUGACCCAAAUCUACUGAGACUUACUGCAGGUAGAUCCGGGGAAUCUAUAUUUAUAAAAGUGUUCCAGGGGACCAAAGCCCCAUCAGGGGUGGGAACCACUGUGCACAGGGCUGCCAGGGAGGUCUGUGCUCAGCCCCCACGCUUAUCACAUACUCCCACUUCCACACAUGCCACCCUCUUUGCCCACCAUCCAGGCUCUGCCUGCUAAUUUCUCCCCAUCUUUCAAGGCCCACGUCCAAGAACCUCUCCUCCAGGAAGUUUCUCCAGAUUCCUCCAGCAGAAGUAUGCCUCAUCUCCCAACAUCCUGUCCUCCCUCUCUGCUAUAUUCUGGGCAUCCCUUAAAGUCUGCCUCCACUGCCUCAUCUCCUGGCCCCUGGACAAAAGGAAGAUGUCGCUGUGGCUGGCUGCUCUCCAUCCUUUCCCCAUCCACUUGCAGAUAAUAGUAUUUAUGGAAUAGGAGCCUCUUAAGGAUUCAUGAGCUAUCCAUCUAGAGGACUUUGAAUUGUGCCAAGAGAUGUUAGCUCUCCGAAUCCUCACAGCCAUCAUGGCAUCUUCAUUCAGGUUUUUGGGGUUAUUUGUGUGCCCACAUUUUCUCCCUCGAGUUCCUGUUGACAGCAAGACUGUCCUGUUCCUCUUCCCACCCACUGCGACACUUGACACCAUACAGCUUUGGCAUGUAUACAGGACAUGUCAUAGUACUGGCUGGAUGGUGACAUGCUCUGAUACGGUUAACCGCUCCCCCUGUACCACUCUCUUCUCUCCCCACCUGGCCCUACCACUGCAGUUUGCCCUCAAAGAACUUAGCACUCUUAGAGUUUGUAAUUAUGUCUUUACUUUUUGCAAUUAUUUGAUUAUCAUCUGAUAUUUUCACCAAGUUCUAAGUUCCCUGAAGGCAGGGAUUUUAAAGUCAUUAAUUAGCCACCCCUAAUUAAUCUAAAAUUGAUUCAUUAACCUACCAAUGGACUUUUUUUUUUUUGGUUCUCCUAAUUAUACUAAUAUAAUAGAGGGGGUUCUGAAUAGUAGAGCAAUUAUGGUAAACGAGUUCUACGAGUAGCUAGAACUAUAUUCAGUGACCAUAUCAGAGUCUAGAUCAAUCAGAGCAUAGUUAAUUGGGUUAUUGACGGAGGUACAAGGUAGGCUUCAAUGUGGGCUCUGCAGUCAGGUGGGCUAGUUUGGGACAAUCUCACUUGUUACCUGUGUGACUAUAAACAAGGCCGUGACUCUACGCUUCUCAUCCGUAAAAUGGAGAUAAGAGUAGAUGGACCUCAUAGGAUCACUGGGCAUGUGAAAUGCUUACUCAGGAAGUUAGUUAUUAUGACGAUAAUACUGCUGACUUCCAAAUAACAUCAAACGAACCUAAUUAAAUGUUUAUGGGUAAGAUCAUGGGCUUCCAUUUUCUUAUCUGUGGGGAUAGUUUUUAUAAUAAAAAUGAUGAGCUGUUUACAAGGGAACAAUAAUGAUGGAGAUUUAGGGCCCAUCCAAGUACAUCCCAACCCCUGACCAGAAAUAUACUCACUUUAUAGAAAAUAAAGUCAUCACAGGUUUUACUUCCUCAAGGAAAGUUUAAGCAGAUUUAAAUUUUUCCUCAUAGAAAAACUAAAAUGAGUGAUUUGGGAACCAGGACAAAGAAAAAAAAGGGAAGGUCUCCAUUCAACCCCAUUCACCUGCUCUUCCAGCUGUAGGGCACUUGCCCUCCUGGAACUUUGAUGACAAACACAGAAUAUCACUGUGACCUUAAUAAAAUCUAGAGCCCUGCACUGUUUACGCACAAGGUCAUAUUCGAAAUCACGCAAUGCAAGGCCCACAGGCAAUUAAAGGGGAAUUGCUCAUCUUUAUUAGUAUCUCCCAAAGUACAGUUGGCCCUCUGUAUCUGUGGGUUUCACAUCUGAAAUUUCCAUCCACAGGUAGGAGAUGGAUAUGGAGGGCCGGCUAUAUUCAUUGUUCUCCAUUAUUUUAUGGAAGAGACAGGCCCAUUCAUGGAUUUGGAUUCACCUGGAGCCACCCCCAGGCAUACUGAGAGACAGCCGUACAUUAAAAGGGACUCGGGUGUUGCUGUUGUGGCUCAGCCUGUUGAAAACCCGACUAGUAUCCAUAAGGAUGCAGGUUCGAUCCCUGGCCUCACUCAGUGGGUUAAGGAUUCAGUGUUGUCGUGAGCUGUGGUGUAGGACGCAGAUGAGGCUUGGAUCCAGCAUUGCUGUGGCUGUGGUGUAGGCCAGUAGCUGCAGCUCCAAUUCGACCCCUAGCCCGGGAACUUCCAUAUGCCACAGCUGUGGCCCUAAAAAGAAAAAAAAAAAGUGAUUCAGUUCAUAGGUCACCAUAGUAUAUGUCAGAAGCACCUCCUCUCUGCCCUCAGAGAUGCUAUUUGGAGAUACUCCAAACCCCAGAUGCUUCCUCAAGCCUCAGCCCCUGGUAAAGGGUGUAGACCUUUCUCCUCCUACCUCCCUACUUGCUCCUUCUAUUGAUUGACCUCAUCCCUUUACCUCCCCACCCCCAACCCCUUCCACCUACCCCCUCUUCCCACAUCACAAAAGAUCCUGGACUGGGGCUGAUUAAAAGCUCUCCUUUACUGGAGGAGUGCUGGGCAGGGGCAGGCGGCAUAGAGGAUGACUAUCGUCUUUCCGGCUCCCUCUUUCAGAAACUGAAAAUUCUGUUUCUUUUCUGACUGUAGGUCACUGUCAUGGAACUGUUGACUAGGAUACGUAACUCAGGUUAGGUCAACCAGAUUCUCCCUGCUACCUCUCCCGGCAGCAGUGCCCCAGUGAGGCUCCUGAUUGGUUCCUGCCUUCCCCACCCCCUUGCUACCCAGACCUCUGCCACUGUCCAAGCCCAAUUCUUCAAUUUUCUCUACACCCUGCGAGCUGUCAAAAAUCUUUCCAACAAAUGUGUCUGCGUAAUUUGUCCACGUUGAUUUCUGUUGUUUGCAACCAAAGAACACUAGGUUAAUACCAAAAACUCUCAUAUUAAUCCAUCUUGUCACCAUCUCUGUUUGUGAGAUUACAGCUGCAGACCUGGACCAAUGAACCUGAAUUUAACUGAAGUAAUUUAUGGCAACACAAGGCCAAAAAGCAGCCUCCAUCAAAUUUGCUUUCUGGAGUUCCCCUUGUGGCUCAGAGGGUUAAGAGCCCAACAUAGUGCCCACGAGGAUGUGGGUUCAAACCCUGGCCUCGCUCAGUGUGUUAAGGAUCCCUUGUUGCUGUGGCUGUGGCAGAGGCCAGCAGCUGCAGCUCCAAUGUGACCUCUAGCCCUGGAACUUCCAUAUGCCACAGGUGCGGCUGUAAAAAAACUUUUUUUAAAAUUUGCUUUCUACUACCAUUUCUCAUUCUCUAACAAAAUCAUUCGGACCUACCUAAAAUUCCUGAUGAGGCAAAGAGUAAUGGUUACUCAAACAUUUUGUAAAACCUAUGUUCACUUUCUAGAGGCUAUGUUCAGUAAUAAAAAUAACAUGUACC